AUGCGGCCAUAUCACGUCGAAACAAUGGUUCCUGUACGAUCAGCGAAGUUAAGCAACGUCAAGCCUCGUUAGAACCUAGAUGGGUAUCCGCUUGGGAAAAUCAGGUGCUGUAA